UGGGGAAUAUUGCACAAUGGGCGAAAGCCUGAUGCAGCAACGCCGCGUGAGUGAUGAAGGCCUUCGGGUUGUAAAGCUCUGUCUUUUGGGACGAUAAUGACGGUACCAAAGGAGGAAGCCACGGCUAACUACGUGCCAGCAGCCGCGGUAAUACGUAGGUGGCAAGCGUUGUCCGGAUUUACUGGGCGUAAAGGAUGCGUAGGCGGAUUUUUAAGUGAGAUGUGAAAACCCUAAGCUUAACUUGGGGGACUGCAUUUCAUACUGGAAAUCUAGAGUGCGGGAGAGGAGAAUGGAAUUCCUAGUGUAGCGGUGAAAUGCGUAGAGAUUAGGAAGAACACCAGUGGCGAAGGCGAUUCUCUGGACCGUAACUGACGCUGAGGCAUGAAAGCGUGGGUAGCAAACAGGAUUAGAUACCCUGGUAGUCCACGCCGUAAACGAUGAGUACUAGGUGUAGGAGGUAUCGACCCCUUCUGUGCCGCAGUUAACACAAUAAGUACUCCGCCUGGGAAGUACGAUCGCAAGAUUAAAAAC
rnacentral:rRNA from 1 species